rnacentral:lncRNA from 1 species
AAUUAUCCAUAGCUUUUCAUAAGGAUUUUCCCCUAUUAUGUAUCCAAUUAGUGAGGUUUUCCAAUAAUCCGCGUGAGAUUGCAGAUCAUCCUCACUCAAUUUAACAAUUUUCCUACCAUCUCUAUCAAUUGGAGGAACAAAUGAUAAUGUUAUACCCAUUUGCGAGAUGCGAUUCCCUCGUACAAUAUCAGUUGCCGUAGGAGUUGGCUUCUCCGAUCCACUUGCUUCUGAAAACUGUAAGCGUCUCACUGCUGGAUUCAUUGUUCCUUCUGCUUUAAUAGGUUGAAGUUGUACAUCUCCUUCAGAACUGCUUGUUUCAUGAGCUUCCUCGGUCGACUGGUAUUUCUGUGGAAGGAAACUUCCAAAUGUGAGUGGAGGUAAUUCCGUUUGAGCAUCGUUUGCUGGAGUAAUAAGCUUCCCCGACUGCGUAGUAGUAUCAUGCACAGUUUUCCGGCGACGAGCCAUUGAUUCCGGUCACAAUUGCAAUCCUUGCUACCAUGCGCCGAGAGCAACGGUUAACGUGCGCCUCAUAACCCGUAUAUUUGGCUUAUUUUCUGCUGGUGUGUCUUGUAGCUUUCUUGAAGAUGCUAUUUUACAGUGUUGGAUGGAUUACUUUAUAAAAUUAAGCCAGUGAAAUGGAAAUGUUCUUCUUGCUUCUCUUUUGCUCCUGAUUUAAUUUCCUUAUCUGAGUCUGUGCUGAAUAUGGAACUAAAGGUUUCAUUAAUUCGGAGUUUGUUUUGUUCUUAAUUAAGGUAAAUGGAAUGUGGAAAAUUUAAUUUAAUGGUUAAUGUCCUAUUUUAGAACUUUUAUAUGUAACGUUAUUUGCACUUGUGAUUACUCUUUAGCUUGUUUUUCUAGUUCCCUAUUUAAAGAGGUCUCAUGAAAAGGUUCUUUAUCCCAUCCUCAACUUAAUAUUAAAAGGGAGAUAUCAUUGGAAAGAAUACGUAUGGGGAGAGAAAAUAUAUGUACUGAGUAACUAGUAGUCCAUUUUGAUCGUUAUGCUGUUUUCUCCCUUCUUUUUGGCACAGGUUGUCGUAAUGGGAAAUGAAAAUUUGUAUGCUUGAUGAUGAG